AUGGAUUUCAAAGGUGUCAAGUGUGUAAUCAACUAUGAUUUCCCUGAGUCCGCGUCUGCCUACAUUCACAGAAUAGUCCGGAAGAGCAGGCAGAUCGGGGGAGGCGAUCACGUUCUUCACGGAGGAGGACAAGCCGUUCCUGUGGAACAUCGCCAACAUACUGGUAUCUUCGGGCUGCGAGGUUCCUUCCUGGAUGGUGGCGUUGCCCAAGCUCAAGAGCAGGAAGCACAGGGUGGACAGCUAGAUAAAAAAGAUCGAAAGCAGACAGACGUAUUAGGAAGUGUUGGUACCGUGGAAGACCCAAUAAGAUUAGUCACCGAUCUUAUUGAAGCAGAAGACCCAAUAGGCAGUGUGGGUCAUGACUCACAAGUUCAAGGCGUUUGA
rnacentral:rRNA from 1 species